AGGGAGAGGCGAUAUUCUGUGGGGUUGUGGCUCUGGUGAUUGAAGGGGCAGAGGUCGAGGGAGGAGGUGGUUUUCGAUGGGUCUUGGUGGAGGAAGGGAUUCAAGAAACGGUAGGCUUAUCUGCGUUUUGAGGGAGAAGAGGAAAGUAAUCUUGCAGUUAAAUUGCAUAGAAAAUUACCAAGACGGCAACGGGCGACGGCAAAGCGGCGACAGGCGAUGGCAGCGGUAAGGACAAGGGUGUGGCGCAUGGGAGGGGAGAGGAGAGGAGAGAGUGCGG
rnacentral:lncRNA from 1 species